rnacentral:rRNA from 1 species
UGGGGAAUAUUGCACAAUGGGCGCAAGCCUGAUGCAGCCAUGCCGCGUGUAUGAAGAAGGCCUUCGGGUUGUAAAGUACUUUCAGCGGGGAGGAAGGCGAUAAGGUUAAUAACCUUGUCGAUUGACGUUACCCGCAGAAGAAGCACCGGCUAACUCCGUGCCAGCAGCCGCGGUAAUACGGAGGGUGCAAGCGUUAAUCGGAAUUACUGGGCGUAAAGCGCACGCAGGCGGUCUGUCAAGUCGUAUGUGAAAACCCCGGGCUCAACCUGGGAACUGCAUUCGAAACUGGCAGGUUAGAGUCUUGUAGAGGGGGGUAGAAUUCCAGGUGUAGCGGUGAAAUGCGUAGAGAUCUGGAGGAAUACCGGUGGCGAAGGCGGCCCCCUGGACAAAGACUGACGCUCAGGUGCGAAAGCGUGGGGAGCAAACA